CCAGCUCCUCCCUCUGCUCUCUGCUUCCUGGCCAAGAUGUGAAUAGCUCUCCUUCACCCGCCCUCCUACCAUGCCAUCCUUAAAGGCAGCCAACCAUGAACUAAAAACAUGAGCAAAAAUAAACCUCUCCUCCUUUAAUUUGUGUGUGUUGGGUAUUGCCUCUCAGCGCCUAGAACCUGGCUAAGAUACCUGCUUUCACAUUCAAAUCACCCGAGAACCUGGAGAAAUACUAAAGGGGAAGAGCCACCCUAAAGUAGGACCCCUGGGCAGAAAAUAGCUCACCAUGAGGAUCAGCUCAACGUUAAGGAAUGCUCUGACACUGGACCCAAUUCCAGAACAAGGGACCCAUUCCAGAACAAGAGGCAUUUGGCCUCCCUCUUCCUGAAGUGCCUUUACCCUUCACUUGGCUCUUCCAGCUCAUUGACUCUGAGGAUCACCCUGGACAACAUGGAGAAAUAUAAUGGAACAAUUUUGAAAAUGGCCCCGAGCCUGACUUAAGGCUUAGGUACCAGAGGCGAAUGACAUGCCAUAGACACAGAAGAUGUUUAGAAUUACAAGUGGAGGAAUAUUCCAAGGCUGAUUCUAAGAGCCACAUGCUAAAGCCAUGAUGAUGUUUCUUCACCAAGCCCAAUAUCCCUCCUACCUUCACCCUGGCCUUCUUUCCCAAACCCAUGUAUGUCAAGAGCCCUUCUAGAUAAUUUUGGAGGAAAAAUCAUUUCAUAAUUAAAUUGUGGCUACAGC